UACAGAGGUCUCGAGCGUUAGGCGGAAUCACUGGGCUUAAAGCGUGUGUAGGCGGAUCGUUAAGUACCUUGUGAAAUCCCACGGCUUAACCGUGGAACUGCUUGGUAUACUGGCGGUCUUGAGCCAGCUAGGGGCUACCGGAACAAGUGGUGGAGCGGUGAAAUGCGUAGAUAUCAUUUGGAACGCCAAUGGUGAAAACAGGUAGCUGGGGCUGUGCUGACGCUGAGACACGAAAGCCAGGGGAGCAAACAGG
rnacentral:rRNA from 1 species